CCUACGGGAGGCAGCAGUGGGGAAUAUUGCGCAAUGGGCGAAAGCCUGACGCAGCGACGCCGCGUGAGGGAUGAAGGUCUUCGGAUUGUAAACCUCUUUCAGCAGGGACGAAGCGAAAGUGACGGUACCUGAAGAAGAAGCACCGGCUAACUACGUGCCAGCAGCCGCGGUAAUACGUAGGGUGCAAGCGUUGUCCGGAUUUAUUGGGCGUAAAGAGCUCGUAGGCGGUUAGACACGUCGGAUGUGAAAACUGGGGGCUCAACCCCCAGCCUGCAUUCGAUACGGUCUGACUAGAGUGUGGUAGGGGUAACUGGAAUUCCUGGUGUAGCGGUGAAAUGCGCAGAUAUCAGGAGGAACACCGAUGGCGAAGGCAGGUUACUGGGCCACCACUGACGCUGAGGAGCGAAAGCGUGGGGAGCAAACAGGAUUAGAUACCCUGGUAGUCCACGCCGUAAACGGUGGGCGCUAGAUGUGGGGACCAUUCCAUGGUUUCUGCGUCGCAGCUAACGCAUUAAGCGCCCCGCCUGGGGAGUACGGUCGCAAGCUAAAACUCAAAGGAAUUGACGG
rnacentral:rRNA from 1 species